AUUGAACGCUGGCGGCAUGCUUUACACAUGCAAGUCGAACGGCAGCGCGGGCUUCGGCCUGGCGGCGAGUGGCGGACGGGUGGGUAAUUCAUCGGAACGUGCCCAGCAGCGGGGGAGAGGGCGGCGAAAGCCGGAUUAAUACCGCAAACGACCUUAGGGUGUAAGGGGGGGACCGAAAGGCCUUGCGCUAUUGGAGGGGCCGAUGUCGGAUUAGCUAGUUGGCGGGGUAAAGGCUUACCAAGGCGACGAUCCGUAGCUGGUCUGAGAGGACGACCAGCCACACUGGGACUGAGACACGGUCCAGACUCCUACGGGAGGCAGCAGUGGGGAAUUUUGGACAAUGGGCGCAAGCCUGAUCCAGCCAUGCCGCGUGGGUGAAGAAGGCCUUCGGGUUGUAAAGCGCUUUUGUUCGGGAAGAAAACCUGUGGGCUAAUACCCCGGUGUGAUGACGGUACCGGAAGAAUAAGCACCGGCUAACUACGUG
rnacentral:rRNA from 1 species